AUUGAACGCUAGCGGGAUGCUUUACACAUGCAAGUCGAACGGCAGCGCGGACUUCGGUCUGGCGGCGAGUGGCGAACGGGUGAGUAAUGUAUCGGAACGUGCCCGGUAGCGGGGGAUAACUACGCGAAAGCGUAGCUAAUACCGCAUACGCCCUACGGGGGAAAGCAGGGGAUCGUAAGACCUUGCACUAUUGGAGCGGCCGAUAUCGGAUUAGCUAGUUGGUGGGGUAACGGCUCACCAAGGCGACGAUCCGUAGCUGGUUUGAGAGGACGACCAGCCACACUGGGACUGAGACACGGCCCAGACUCCUACGGGAGGCAGCAGUGGGGAAUUUUGGACAAUGGGGGCAACCCUGAUCCAGCCAUCCCGCGUGUGCGAUGAAGGCCUUCGGGUUGUAAAGCACUUUUGGCAGGAAAGAAACGUCGCGGGCUAAUACCCCGUGGAACUGACGGUACCUGCAGAAUAAGCACCGGCUAACUACGUG
rnacentral:rRNA from 1 species